CCUAACCUGUUUGUCAAAUGGCUUUGAAACUUUUACCACUUGUUUACCAUCAUAAUAUACAUAUGUAGGCAAGACUACAUACGGUAACUAGGACAAGGACUUUAGCUCAGUUAUGGCCCUUUUGUGAGAAAGAAAUUUGUUAAGUUUCGCAUGCGAUUCCAUAUUUUGUCUAAACUGUUUGAUAUAUGGCUUUGAAACAUUGAACAGUCUUGCUUACCAUCAUGAUCACAUAUUGCUAUAUAUUGCAAGACUUAUCCAAAUCCACAAAAACAGGUACAUUGUUUGUCUAAUUUAUUUUUCAUCUUUUGUCUGCAAAUCUCUGGUAAUAUUUUGACCCCAUACUUCCAUCAGUUCUUCGAAUAGUCAAGUGCGCUGUCAACAGACAGCUGUUGUUUGUGAAUACUACAAGAUCUAUUUGCUUUAAAACUUUGUACAUUUCUUUACUAUCAGUAAGUGGGUAAGAAGGUCAAGAACCAUUUAUAACACAUUCUGUUGCAUAUUGUUAAACGUCAAUCAAUUACAGGCAAGGGUAGGCACCCGCAGGCGUUUCUGUGGUUCAUACCAAUUUUGACAUAUUUUAAUGAAUGUCUGGGGUAAUUUUGACUGAAAGAGGUUGCUUAAGUAUUAUGAUAGCAUGGUUUUUGAUAACUUUAGAUUCUGACAUUUGAAAGCAGUAUGGGUAAAUAAAGAAAAUGUCAGUAAUGUAAAUGCUAUAAUCUUUUUACUGAGGUCUGAAAAACAAAAAGGAGAAAUAUACUUAUUUUGGGCCAAUUUUCUCCAGUUUGGAUUGAUAAGUUUUCAUUGAAAACAGCUGUAAUAGAACUAAGGUCAUUUCAUUUGUAACAUUUAUUGUAAACUACACUACUUUCAAGUCAUAAUUUGUAAUGAAUCACAAAAUUUUGAAGUAACAAAUUUAUAUUCAAUUCCUUUUGAUUUUGCAUUAUUUUUGCUGGUGGGUGGGGUAAGUCUAUUUAUAUAGUGUUUUUUUCUCUAAAAUACAGAAUUGCAUGUUGUUUUUCUAAUGGCUUUUACUUGCAAAUAUUUUAUACUAUCAUAUUUAUAAUCUUGAAACAUGUAACUGAUGGAACAUACUGUUUUCAACAAUAUGUUAUGUUGUUUUAUGUACCUGCAAAUAUUUAGUUAUUCGUAAAGCGAAGUUGACAGCUAAAGUUAUUGCAUUUUAUAUUUAAAAAAGGUAUAUUAAUACUAUGUAUUGCAUCAAACAUCUGAUAAGAUGUUGUUUUGUCUGUUGAAGUAAGCAGUUGUAUUACUUAAAUGUUUAAAUAGAAAAACAGCCAAAAAUAUGCAACAUAUUAGAUUAAUUUUGGUGCUAACUUCAGCUUUAUUAGACAUUUUUGAUAUUGGUUACCUUGAUAUAGUCCGUCUCGUAAAAUUUUAAAAUGCAUGGUGACCUAUACUUUUUAAUAUUUAUUUCAUCUAUAUAUACAGCUAUCUUAAUUUUUGAAAAGUUUCAGGAAAGUAAAGAAUGUAGAAAGGUCUGUAACUCUUCUUCAAAUAAUCUGGAUUCAUAAUGGUUUCAGUGAUUUAUGUAUAAAUUUUACGAGACAAGAUUUAGAUUUUUGUCAUUUAUCUGCAGAUAACUUCGAUUAAAAUUCAAAUGUUUGUAUUAUUUUUCAAUAAUAUAGUGUUUUGUAGAUCAUAUAACUAUUUGGAAUGGAAAUCACUUGAAAUAUUAGCAAAAUAAAAUUUUGAAAUAUAAA
rnacentral:lncRNA from 1 species